ACUUCAAACCUUUGAUGAAUUCUUGAUCAAAUUGACAAAUAAAGUACAUGGGGAUCCAUAUAUGAUGCUUAGAACCAUGGUGAACCUUUCCUUGAUUGAUCUCUUUCAUUGAGGGAGUCAAGCCCUAGAUAUGAGCUUGAUAGGGCACAAAUGGAUGCACACACUACCUACAAAAGAAAUGAAACUAUACUAGACAUAUUUUUGGUAUUUUGGUUAGUAAACAAAAGAAAAUAAAGUAUGAUACAUUAAAAUGUGUUUGGUGAUAUCUCCCAAUGCAAACCCAAUGAAUGAGGGGUAAGGAGGAUACCAAGGUGUGAUCCCAAAGCCAAUGCAAAUGAUGAGAUAGUAUGAGGGAUCUUAAGGUUAAAAUUUGGGUCUUACAGUUACCACUGUCAUCAACAGGACGAAUGUAGCCAUAAACUACCAUAUAUCAUAUAUCCACAUCAUGACCAAGAAAAAUACUUUCUAUUUUAUCAUUCCAAUAGUCAAAAUUUUAUCCAUUAAAGACUGAAGUUUUGGCACGAUAAUGGUCUCUUUCAUUGUUACUAGCGGGUGCAGUUGGUGGAGGAAUUUCUGCCAGAAUGUUUCAAAAGUCUGGAUCUUUAUCUAACACAAUGAAGUGUUGGAUACACAAUCAAUACCAGAACCAGAGCUCUGAUUCUAAUUUAACGUAAUGGAAACACAAGAAAGGGGGUUUGAAUUGGGUUUCAAGAAAUAUAACUUUUGCAACCCAAAGAUGCAAAUAGAAAACUAAGAACAAAAAUAAUGAACUCGAUUAUUUUUAUCAUGGUUUGCUAUUAACAAGGUGAUUUCGCCUUAUCACAAGGACUUAAUCCACUAUAAUCAAACUUGAUUACAACAAAAAGACCAACUGUCAAUGUCUUUCUGAGUAAUUCUGACUAAAUCCUAGUCACUCAAGAAAAUACAAUCACAAAGAUUGAGAUGCAAAAUGUGUUUACAAAAUGCUUCUGAGAAAGAAAAAUACACAAAUGAAUUACAAGUAUAGCACAUAAAAUAUAUAUUCUAUGAUGAGUAUGAACAAAAAUUCAUUGUGUGUAUGUUUCUUUUCUUUUCUCUCAAAAUAUUUCAUAAAACUCAUUAUUCAUGUAUAUGUUAAUCUCUUAGAGUGUAGCACAAUUCAAUUCUUCCAAGUCUUCUUUAUAUAGGCAAGGAAGAGAUCCAUUGGAGGGUAAAAUUGGAAUACUUAAAUGCAAUUGUAUCUUUGCAUAACGGUCUGUGAAAAUGAGAGACAAAAUGAUACAAUAGUCAGUCCUUAGUCCACAAAAUCAUUGUAGUGGAUGAAUAUUUGAUCUUGUACUGUGUACUAUUUUCUCACGUAAAACCUUUUUGAUCUUAUCUUCAAUUUUCAGAGGCUUCUGAUAAAGAGGUAAUGAAGCAUGUAUAGAAGGAAGAAUAAGAGUCUGGUUGAGAGAAUCUUCAGAAACUUUGUCUUCAGAGUCUUGAUCCAGUUCAUCAGAACAUGGUCUUUAGAGUCUGGUGACACAAUUCAUCCGAAUUUUUUAAGCGCACGACUCCAGAGCUUGACAACGUCAAAAUCGGACUUAUGAAAUGAAAGUUAUGACCAAAAUCGUCGGGAUGUGUCAACAAUUCAUUAACCGAACGUAAGAACAAAAACUUCACCAACACAGUAGGCAUAGGAAUAAUAUUCAAUCAAUUCACUUAUCACCAUCACAUUAUAUCUCUUAGAGUCACCUUUCUAAUGCUUUAAACCCCAACCCAAAAUGAUUCACGAGUUGAAAGUUAUAAUCAAAACCGUGCACGAAGGCGUUACUAAAAAGUUGUUAUUUUCUAAAUUUUCCGACAUAAUUUUCAUCUUUUUCAACCCCAAAAACGUCCAUGAAAUAAUCUCCAAAAUUAUUUUAUUCCUGAAACAAAGUUAUAGCCCUCUGUUUCAGAUAUCCAACGCUUCAAACGACACUCGAUUUAGACUUACGGAUCAAAAGUUAUGGCCAAAACGAUUUCGAUCAAAAAACACAAUAAAAUGCUCGUGAUUGUGAGAGACAGAAUGCAUAAUUUUCUGCGUUUUUCAUCGUUGGAGGCCUUCCGGGUCUCCGAUUUCGAUUCCGUAAAAAGCUAAACAUUCAGUAAAUUACAACCCAUGCAAUACUAUAAUUAUCUAAUAAUUUACAGUUUUAACACAAUUAAAUCAUCUAAUCACUGUUUCAAGAUUAUGCCUGAAACCUUCAAAAUUGCAACAAUGGUGAAUAUAAGUUCAAUCAUCAAAAUAGAAAAUUACACACAUAUAAGACACAUGACAUUUAUCAUAUAAUCAUCAUGGCAUCCAAAUUCAAAAUUAUGAAUCAAAACACUCAACCUUAAGGAGGUUAAGGGUUCCUCCAUUCUAUCAUUCUAUCAUACCCUUUACUAUUGGAACAAGUUCUCACCCUUACCUUAGAUUUUCCAACAAGAUGCACACUUCAAGCUCUAACAAUGGAGUUUUCUUUUAGCCAUAUCUCUUCCCUCUUCUCACCACAAAAUUCUAUUUUACGUAAAACCCUCCAAACUCUCUUACUAACCUUUUUAUCAUUAACCUAAUCCCCCUCAAUUAGGAACUUCCACCAUUGCCCUCACUUAUCAUAUUAUUUACCACCAUAUCCCUUUUGACUCUAAUUUUCUUUUAAUAAAAUAAUACUAAUAAUAUUCUUCUUUUUCUCGAUCGUAUUUCUACUCUUUUAUUUUAUUCCAAUCAAUUAAAUAAAAUAGUUAUAGGUUAAUUAUUAAAAAUUCUCAUUAUCCCCAUUAAAUAAGUAAAAUAAUUAAAUUUCAUUAUUUAAUUAAGAUGCUCAUAUUCUAGUUAUUUAAUUAAAUAAAAUAGUUAUAGGUUAAUUAUUAAAAAUUCUCAUUAUCCCCAUUAAAUAAGUAAAAUAAUUAAAUUUCAUUAUUUAAUUAAGAUGCUCAUAUUCUAGUUAUUUUUAUUUAUUUAUUUAAUUAAUUCAAAUAAUACACUAUUUAUUUCAAUCACUAAUUAAAAUUCUAAUUAAUUAUCAACAACUAUACCAAAUUCUUAUUGCCUCCAUACUUCUAUUUCAAGGAUACCUACCCCCACAAUCAUACACAAUUAAUUUAAAACACACAUUAAUCAUAUAAAAAUCUAAAUAAUUCAAAUUAAUUAAUUAAUUAAAUUCGGGGUGUUACAGGUGACACAAUUCAUCAGAAUUUUUUAAGCGCACGACUUCAGAGCUGAACAAUGUCAAAAUCUUCUGAGUCAUAAAGCUUUGGAUAAACUAUGUUCAGAAGCGUUGAGUACAGAAUCCAAAGCUUGUUUAUCUUGUAGAACACACAUCUUAGAGUCAAAGUGCACUAGGUUCAGAAUCUGAUGUUGUCACACAUCAUUCUAUCAAAGUCAAAACUCAUCUAGUAUUUGCACACUAAACAAAACCAUUAAGAUACAAAAUUGUUCUCUAAAAAUCUAUGUAUUGUUAUUACCAAAACAUAAAGUUAGAUGCAGAACCAAAUCUUAUUCUUAUAAAAUUACCAUAAUUUUAUUUUAUUGAAAUUUAUAAUAUAUCCUUCUCUUGACAAUGUGUGGUCCAAAUUUUUUUUUCCAAUAAUUGAAAAAUACUAUUAGUUUUUUAGAUUAUUUUUUUUUUCUUUUUUCUAGACUAAAGAGGAUAUUCAUUACUAAACUAAUAUAUAAGUGUUCACAGGGACCAAGUUACUCAUUCAUCUUCUUUCUCAUAGUCCAUCAUUUGUGAUAUUAGUUCUAACAAUGUUAUCACUAGUACUUCUCCUUGCUAUAGGUGCUUAAUUCUCUCUCCUAAUCUCUCCGCUAAAACACAAAACCACUAAACAUUUUCCACCUGGUCCUAAAGGCCUUCCCAUAAUAGGAAAUCUUCACCAACUAGACCUCCUUAAUAUUAGUGUUCAACUUGCAGACUUUUCAAAAAUAUAUGGUCCUAUAUUUUCACUUAAACUUGGUUCAAGACAAGCUAUUGUAGUUUCUUCAUCUGAAAUUGCCAAAGAAAUUUUUAAAAAAAAUGACCAUACGUUUUCUGACAGACCUCAAUUAUAUAGCCAACAAAAAUUAUCUUAUAACGGAUCAGAAGUUUUAUUUUCACAAUACAAUGAAUCUUGGAGAGAUAUAAGAAAAAUUUGUGUUAUUCAUAUUUUUAGUUCCAUACGUGUAGCAUAUUAUUCUUCCAUAAGAAACUUUGAGGUGAGGAAACUGAUUAAAAAAAUAUCAGAAAAUGCUAAUUCUUCAAGUGUUACAAAUAUGAGUGAGGUAUUGAUAUCUCUUGCAAGUUCUCUAAUAUGUAACAUUGCUUUUGGAAAAACCUUUGAAAAUGAAGGACCUGAGAGUAGUAGUAGGUUUCCUGAAAUGUUGCAUGAGUUUCAAGCUUUGCUAGCAGAAACUUUUGUUGCUGAUUAUAUUCCAUUUACGGGUUGGAUUGAUAAAGCGAGAGGAUUGCAUGGUCGUCUUGAUAAAAUUUACAAGGAGUUUGAUAAGUUUUAUCAAGAGAUUAUUGAUGAACAUUUGGAUCCAAA
rnacentral:lncRNA from 1 species